UACGAAAGGACCAAGAAAACAGGACCACUGUCAGCAACAUGUCCUAACACAAGGCUGAACACAACUAAAGCCAAACAACAAAAUCAUAAACCCGGAGAUAACGGGCUUA
rnacentral:rRNA from 1 species